UUUCCAGCGGCAGUGAAAGCCUCCUUCCUGAAUGCGUCUAAACCUGGUUAUUAUUUUCUAUAUCGGGGUGAACGAGGGAAAGUUCAAAUCAACAGGACAUUUCAGAUCCCCCCCACGCAGUAACCAGGUUUAGAAAUGUCUUCUCAAAAUAUUAAGAUGGCUAUAGCUGACAUGUUCGAUGGUCUGUCGAGCAGUAACUUUGACAAUUUCCGCCACGAGCUUUUACAUCGCAAUGAAGGACCGCGGGUUGCACGGAUCAGGGUGGAGGGUAAAAGCCGCUUAGAGAUCACAAACGUCCUCGUUUCCACUUUCACGGAGACUGGCGCUGUUGGGGUAGCUGUGGAGAUGUUGAGAGAGAUUGCCUGCAACGAGGAAGCAGACCAACUCGUCAGAAACACAACCGGAAAACAUUAGACUGCUCUUUUUGACACUGCAAGACCCUGACCAGGAGCUGUAGUGAGUGGUAUCGGUGGUAAUGCAACAUCUCAGAUUAUGUUUCACUGCCUGAAUGCUGGAUGUUUUAAGGAAACAAAUCGAAAUAAUCUAUAUCAAAAGCUUCAAUCUGAAUUGAGAUAUCUUCAACAACCAUGGCACAUUCAAAUGUUAUUUUUAUCCCAAUAAAGUUAAACGUUUUUAAUGAAAUCAAA